AUGGCACAUGCCAGUUCAUUAUUUGGGAGCAGUCUGCAGAGAUGCAAAGAGAAGCAAGGAGCUUACUUGGAAGCCCUGUUCCACCAUUUCCGGGUGCCGGAUCGAGUUCCAGGCCCGAUGGGACCUCAGCCUGGGAUCCCAGAGCAUGGUGCUGUUGAACGCGAAGCCCGACAUGGCGACAUGAAAUCUCUGGAGCUUGUUGGCACCCCCACUUGUGUGCCACCCCACAACUUGGUUCUGCUUGCAUACGGGCCCUUCCAGCACCACGUCGUGGCCGCCCUCGGAGAUCGUCGGAACAGGCCAUGUGCCGAACCUCCUAAAUCAAUGACAGGCAGCAGCAAGUCAAUACCAAGUUGGUGCUUUACACAUCAUCCAAUUUUAUCCAGUGAUAAACAGAGCAUAAAGUUUCAGAUUCAUUUGCUUGCCAGAGUAGCAGAUACUAACUGCUGUUCCAGGCAAGGAAUGUGUGCUAACAUUGAAGCAUCAAUGGCAACCUGGAAGGCAAAUGAUGUGCACUAA
rnacentral:rRNA from 1 species